AAAAAAGGAAAAUAGCUUGGAAAAAAAAAGAUGUUAACGCUAUUGACCAAAUCUGAUUUCUUCUUCUCUUCAUUCACGAUGAUGAAGGAAUUGACGUUGUUAACGCCAUCCAUCGGCUUCUUCUUCUUCAUCGCCCACAGAAAAGAUAGGAAGCUUUGUUUGUCAAGUUCGAGUCUCCAAUUCUAUGCUUUCAAAUCCAAUUUCGACUUCACCUUCUCCAAGCCAAAUCAAGCCAUGUUCAUCCAUGGAUUUUCUUCUUCUUCCUGCUAUUCGAACAUCACCACUGGCGUAAACCAAAAUCGAUUUUGUAGUUCUGGGAAGAAUACCAAACAACGAGGAAGAAGAUGGAGAAGGAAAAUAUUGAGCUAAAAGAUAAGUUUUUUGUUCUAACAAUACACUUUUGGCUAGAUACUAUCGUGAUUGCUUUUGGUUUUUCUGAAUCCAAUUUAGAGCUUUGGUUUCUCCUGAAAAAAUUAUGCCUGUUAAUGGAGUGUACGAAGAUGUGUGAUGUUUUGUUAAGUCUAUUACUCGGUUUGCUGUAUGAUGGCUACAAUAUUUGAUUCGUUUAAAAUGCCUUGGUUCUGGUUAUCAACCUUUCUCUGACACACAUAAUAUAUGAUACAUCAUGG
rnacentral:lncRNA from 1 species